GACGAACGCUGGCGGCGUGCUUAACACAUGCAAGUCGAACGGAAAGGCCCUUUCGGGGGUACACGAGUGGCGAACGGGUGAGUAACACGUGGGUGAUCUGCCCUGCACUUUGGGAUAAGCCUGGGAAACUGGGUCUAAUACCGGAUAGGACUACGCGAUGCAUGUCGUGUGGUGGAAAGCUUUUGCGGUGUGGGAUGGGCCCGCGGCCUAUCAGCUUGUUGGUGGGGUGAUGGCCUACCAAGGCGACGACGGGUAGCCGGCCUGAGAGGGUGUCCGGCCACACUGGGACUGAGAUACGGACCAGACUCCUACGGGAGGCAGCAGUGGGGAAUAUUGCACAAUGGGCGCAAGCCUGAUGCAGCGACGCCGCGUGCGGGAUGACGGCCUUCGGGUUGUAAACCCCUUUCAGCACAGACGAAGCGUAAGUGACGGUAUGUGCAGAAGAAGCACCGGCUAACUACGUG
rnacentral:rRNA from 1 species